AGCUACGGCCGGAAGAUGGCGGCGGCCGCAGAAUUGUCGCUGCCGGAGAAGUCCCUGGGACUGAGUAAGGGGAAUAAAUACAGUGCUCAGGGCAAGUGACAGAUUCCAGUUCUUCAGACAAACAAUGGUCCAAGUCUAACAGGACUGACUACUAUAGCAGCUCAUCUAGUCAAGCAAGCCAACAAAGAAUAUUUGCUGGGGAGUACUCCAGAAGAAAAAGCAAUCGUUCAGCAAUGGUUAGAGUACAGGGUCACUCAGAUAGAUGGACACGCCAGUAAAAAUGAUAUCCACACACUGUUGAAGGAUCUUAAUUCAUAUCUUGAAGAUAAAGUCUACCUUACAGGGUAUAACUUUACCUUAGCAGAUAUCCUAUUGUACUAUGGACUUCAUCGCUUUAUAGUUGACCUGACAGUUCAAGAAAAGGAGAAAUACCUUAAUGUGUCUCGCUGGUUUUGUCACAUUCAGCAUUAUCCAGGCAUCAGGCAACAUCUGUCUAGUGUUGUCUUCAUCAAGAACAGACUAUAUACUAAUUCCCACUAGAAGCUGUCCAUGCCAUACAGAAGAUCUAUUAAAAAUGUUUUCAAUGGAAAAUGUACUCUGGGCCACAGGACUAAUGUAAAUUAAUAUACAGUCAUUCAUUAUUUGUUGAAGUUGAUAGAAUUUUUGAAGUGUAAACUUGUGUCUGAAUGUUUUGUUCUUUAGUUGAAGUUUUGCAAUUUUUAUG